rnacentral:rRNA from 1 species
GACGAACGCUGGCGGCGUGCUUAACACAUGCAAGUCGAACGGAGUGGCGAACGGGUGAGUAACACGUGGGUGACCUGCCCUGCACUUCGGGAUAAGCCUGGGAAACUGGGUCUAAUACCGGAUAGUGUGGGAUGGGCCCGCGGCCUAUCAGCUUGUUGGUGGGGUAAUGGACUACCAAUGCGGGGACGGGUAGCCGGCCUGAGAGGGUGGACGGCCACAUGGGGACUGAGACACGGCGCAGACGCCAACGGGAGGCAGCGGUGGGGAGUAUUGCACAAUGGGCGGAAGCCUGAGGAAGAGGCGCCGCGUGGGGGAUGACGGCCUUCGGGUUGUAAACUCCUUUCACCAUCGACGCGGUAGAUGGAGAAGAAGCACCGGCUAACUACGUGCCAGCAGCCGCGGUAAUUC